UACGUAGGGUGCAAGCGUUGUCCGGAAUUAUUGGGCGUAAAGAGCUCGUAGGCGGUUUGUCGCGUCUGCUGUGAAAACUCGGGGCUUAACCCCGGGCCUGCAGUGGGUACGGGCAGACUAGAGUGCGGUAGGGGAGACUGGAAUUCCUGGUGUAGCGGUGAAAUGCGCAGAUAUCAGGAGGAACACCGGUGGCGAAGGCGGGUCUCUGGGCCGUAACUGACGCUAAGGAGCGAAAGCGUGGGGAGCGAACAGG
rnacentral:rRNA from 1 species